AUUAUUUUAAGAUUAUUUUUUAUUGUUGAAAAAAUUAAAAAUAAAUUGUUUUUAACAAAAAUUAAAAUUUAUAAUAUUUCAUUUUUUGGUUUUUUGUUUUAAAUUAAAAUAAUAAAUAUGGGGGAAAAAAAAAUUUUGUUAUAAAUUAUAUUAGUUUAUUUUAAUUAAAAAUAUUUUUUAUUAAAUUUGUUUUUUUUAUUUUUUUAUAAAAAAUAUUAAUUUAAUUAUUAUUAUUGAGUUUAAUUUAGUUAUUUUUAAAAAAAUUUUGUAUAAAAUAAAUUUGAUAAUAAAUGUUUUUUAAAUUCUUUGGGGGUUUAGUUUAUGAUUUUUUGUUUCUGCUCAUUGUUAAAUAAAAGCACUUUUAGCGUGAUUGGCCAAAGGUAA
rnacentral:rRNA from 1 species